rnacentral:rRNA from 1 species
UGAGGAAUAUUGGUCAAUGGACGCAAGUCUGAACCAGCCAAGUCGCGUGAAGGAUGACUGCCCUACGGGUUGUAAACUUCUUUUGUACUAGAGUAAAACAUAGGACGUGUCCUAUCUUGCAAGUAUAGUACGAAUAAGCAUCGGCUAACUCCGUGCCAGCAGCCGCGGUAAUACGGAGGAUGCGAGCGUUAUCCGGAUUUAUUGGGUUUAAAGGGUGCGUAGGCGGUCUAUUAAGUCAGCGGUGAAAGUUUGAGGCUCAACCUUAAAAUUGCCGUUGAAACUGGUUGACUUGAGUAUAUUUGAAGUAGGCGGAAUUCGUGGUGUAGCGGUGAAAUGCAUAGAUAUCACGAAGAACUCCAAUUGCGCAGGCAGCUUACUAAACUAUAACUGACGCUGAGGCACGAAAGCGUGGGUAUCAAACA